rnacentral:rRNA from 1 species
CUAGCAUAUCAAUAAGCGGAGGAAAAGAAACUAAACAAGGAUUCCCCUAGUAACUGCGAGUGAAGCGGGAAAAGCUCAAAUUUAAAAUCUGUCAGUCUUUGGCUGUCCGAGUUGUAAUCUAGAGAAGUGUUAUCUGCGCUGGACCGUGUACAAGUCUCCUGGAAUGGAGCGUCAUAGAGGGUGAGAAUCCCGUCUCUGACACGGACUACCAGGGCUUUAUGAUGCGCUCUCAAAGAGUCGAGUUGUUUGGGAAUGCAGCUCAAAAUGGGUGGUAAAUUCCAUCUAAAGCUAAAUAUUGGCGAGAGACCGAUAGCGAACAAGUACCGUGAGGGAAAGAUGAAAAGAACUUUGGAAAGAGAGUUAAACAGUACGUGAAAUUGCUGAAAGGGAAACGCUUGAAGUCAGUCGCGUUGUCCAGGGAUCAACCUUGCUUUUGCUUGGUGUACUCUCUGGUUGACGGGUCAGCAUCAAUUUUGAUCAUUGGAAAAAGGUUAGGGGAAUGUGGCAUCUUUGGAUGUGUUAUAGCCCUUGAUUGUAUACAAUGGUUGGGAUUGAGGAACUCAGCACGCCGCAAGGCCGGGUUUUUAACCACGUACGUGCUUAGGAUGCUGGCAUAAUGGCUUUAAUCGACCCGUCUUGAAACACGGACCAAGGAGUCUAACAUGCCUGCGAGUGUUUGGGUGGAAAACCCGAGCGCGUAAUGAAAGUGAAAGUUGAGAUCCCUGUCGUAGGGAGCAUCAACGCCCGGACCAGACCUUUUGUGACGGUUCCGCGGUAGAGCAUGUAUGUUGGGACCCGAAAGAUGGUGAACUAUGCCUGAAUAGGGUGAAGCCAGAGGAAACUCUGGUGGAGGCUCGUAGCGAUUCUGACGUGCAAAUCGAUCGUCAAAUUUGGGUAUAGGGGCGAAAGACUAAUCGAACCAUCUAGUAGCUGGUUCUGCG